CUCCUCUCCAUGGAAUAGUGCAUUUUUUUAUACCAAUACAUUUUAAAUGGCCUGGAUCGUUGUUAUGGAUAGAAAAGUGUUUGGAUACAGUGUGGUUUUGGUAUCCAUUGGUAAUGUUACGACAGUGUUCGCCUAAUCUCGUUUUUAGGCUUCUUGUGGUCAUGCCUACGUAUUGCAAACCACAUGGGCAUUCCAGGUGAUAAAUUACAUUCUUAGAUGCACAAGUGAUAAAAUCUUUAAUAUUUUAUGUUUUGUUGGUUUUAUUUGAUUUGAAUUGUGUGGUUUUGGAUUUGGUGUACCUGGUUGGUGCAUUUACAAACUUUACAGCGUUUGCACUUAAAGAACCCUUUGGUAUUGGGUAGGAGGCGGGAUUGGGGUUUUGCCAACAUCCUCCCUAGUAAAGUUGGAAGUUAGGAUUGAUUUAAAGGUGGGAGCUCCCCUAAAUACAAUAUUAGGUCUUUCUGGUAUGAUUUAUUUUAAAAUAUCUUCUUGCUUGAGCAAAUGCCAAUGUUUCUUUAUUAUUUUUUUAAGAUGAUUACUUUUAUUACCUCUAGGUGUAAUACGUUCGUCAAUGUAUUUUUUUAGGGUAGCAAUUUCCCAUUUUAAUUUAAUCUCUGUGCUUAGGACCUUUUCCAACUUUGUAAAUAGUUCUUGUUGGCUAAAGUUGGUUUGUCUUAGAAAAACAGGGCUAAUAGUAUCUGUAUUAAAUGCACCGUUGAUGUAAAUUGUAUAGUUGUUUCUGAAGUCAAAUAAAGACAUACUAGAUAAAGAAGCUGCUAACUCGAGAGGGAGACAAAGAUAACAAAAAACAGAGAGUAGAGUCAGCGCUAAUAUAUCAGAAAGAGAUACAAAAGGCAGCAAUCCCAAACAAGGACUCCCUCAAGUGUCCUUGAGAUAAAUACGGAAAGCAAACAAACAGAAGGAUGGGACUGCGCCAAGCAAACAAACAGAAGGAUGGGACUGCGCCAGUAAACAAAAUAAGUAAAAUAAAAAAGUCCUGGUUGAGAUAGAAAUAUUAAAAUAGAGUCCAGUAUAAUGAAACUUUGGUCUUAUGUUGGUCUCUGAAAUUGUAGAAUUUUGCUCCUUACUGGUAUAUGGAGGAGGGCGAUGGAUGAUGGAAAUGAUGGUGGUAAAGAGUGAUCCAAAAGG